rnacentral:rRNA from 1 species
UCGAGGGGCAGCAUGGUCUUAGCUUGCUAAGGCCGAUGGCGACCGGCGCACGGGUGAGUAACACGUAUCCAACCUGCCGUCUACUCUUGGACAGCCUUCUGAAAGGAAGAUUAAUACAAGAUGGCAUCAUGAGUCCGCAUGUUCACAUGAUUAAAGGUAUUCCGGUAGACGAUGGGGAUGCGUUCCAUUAGAUAGUAGGCGGGGUAACGGCCCACCUAGUCUUCGAUGGAUAGGGGUUCUGAGAGGAAGGUCCCCCACAUUGGAACUGAGACACGGUCCAAACUCCUACGGGAGGCAGCAGUGAGGAAUAUUGGUCAAUGGGCGAGUGCCUGAACCAGCCAAGUAGCGUGAAGGAUGACUGCCCUAUGGGUUGUAAACUUCUUUUAUAAAGGAAUAAAGUCGGGUAUGCAUACCCGUUUGCAUGUACUUUAUGAAUAAGGAUCGGCUAACUCCGUGCCAGCAGCCGCGGUAAUACGGAGGAUCCGAGCGUUAUCCGGAUUUAUUGGGUUUAAAGGGAGCGUAGAUGGAUGUUUAAGUCAGUUGUGAAAGUUUGCGGCUCAACCGUAAAAUUGCAGUUGAUACUGGAUAUCUUGAGUGCAGUUGAGGCCAGGCGGAAUUCGUGGUGUAGCGGUGAAAUGCUUAGAUAUCACGAAGAACUCCGAUUGCGAAGGCAGCCUGCUAAGCUGCAAC